AGGAGAACAAAGUACUCAAUAUCCAUCUAAGUGACAGCAAAGCAAGAAAAAGUAACAGCCUGCCUGAAAGGUGUAAACAUCUGAGAGGAAAAGGAAUAACUUAGCAGGGACAAAACUGUUUCCAAUGAUGCCCAGCAUUAGAGGGUGUCCACAGGACUGCCAGUCUCAUCCAGUGAGGAAUAUUUCAGCUUAAGGAAGAGAAGGAGAACUUUAAAAGGACAUUUCCUGGAAUAUGCAUGCCACAGAAAGAUACUAAUUAAUUUUGCCCUGCCUUUCAAGCAUGAAGAUUUCAUUGCAGAAACAUCAACAAGUCAAUAAUCAAGCACAGAGAAUCUACUGUGCUAGGUGCUGGGGAUGGAUACUGUGAUGAAAGUUUUUCAGAAGGCAAAAAGAAAGUGUAAAGAAAAAGAGAUGAACUGCCAUCUGCUAUUAGGUAGCCACCAACGGUGAAGAUGUUCCAAAAUACAUUUCACUUGCACAAGAAAGAAGAGCAUUGAGCUAAAAAUGUUAGAUCAGCACAUCUGGACCUCAGUGGCUUGGUCCAAUAUCCCAUAAAUUUAAGGAUAGGUAUGAAAAACUCAGAACCUCUUCUUCUAUCCCACUAUAUAAUAAGGAAUCUCUAGUUAAACAUUAAUCAGCAGAAGAUGCUUUUUCCAUACCAGCUCUCACUAUUAAUGACUCCUGCACUGUUUAUGAACCUUAGUGGGAGAACGCUCUGCUUUCAUUGGUACCACUAAGGAGUGUAUAUGUGUCCAGGUAGUGAGGAGAGACCACUGCCCCACUGUCGUAAUGGAACACAUGAUCUGGAGUGAAGUACUAUCCCAAAAGACUGGCAGAAACAGCAGAUGAAUUCUAGGACAAAAAUGAAGCUAGAAUGUUCUGAUACCACCCAGAUAUAGACAAUGCUGCUACCAAAGAUUUAGAGGCAUGGAAAAGAAAAUGAAAACCCUAUGUUUAUUUAUUCUAUACUUUCUUAUAUUUCAUAACUAUUACGUUCUUCUGUCACCAGCUAUUAAACUCUUAGGAAACCUAGGCCCUGAGUAGUGCAGCUCAAAAUCAUGUAUCCUGGAACUUGGCUUCUAUGAGCAAAGGAUACUAAUUUAGAGUACCUAAAUCUUCCUUAACCUUUUAUUAAUAUCCAAACCUCUACCUUCAGCCUUAUAGAUUUUCUUAAAACCUCAGUUUAGAACAGAGUUGAUUUUAACUCUUCUUCUAACAGAUCAAUAGCUGUCCUUUCCUACCUGGAAAGAUAGUCUUUUAUACACCUCUCAAGAAUGAGCCUUCUCCUAUAAGACAAGAAACAAGACCCGUUAAACAAGACUCCUAAUUUCUCUGUAUGAGACAAGUGUUAAUAUGAGAAAAGUUUUAUUUUUUUCUAAAAGAGAGACCCAAGUGUCAGGUGAAGGAAUUUUUGGAUACUGAAACUACAUUACUAUGUAAACAUAAAGAUUAGGAGUCAUAACUCUACAACCACAAAAGGGGAUUUCUCUAUGAUGUUAAACAUCAGUCUAAUUAGAUAUGGAAACAACAAGUUACUUUGCAUAAGCAAGGCAGACCUUGCAGUUCAAGAGUGCCAUAAUACUGAGUUAAAAGUUCCUGUUCAAAAUCAGUCAGAACAGGUAUUUAAAAAUAGGUACAACUAAUAAAUUGAAUUAGUCUUCUUAUUGUUUAAUAAGAAAAAAAGAUGCUUUGUCAGAAAUGCACUUAUUAUCAGACUUUCUGUCCAAAAACUUUGAGUUAAGGUUCUGUCUUAAUAUUAGAUAAAAUUCUAGAAAUAGGAAACAAAUCAGACACCUGUUUUAGUGCCAAGAAAGAUAUUCACUAACUCUAAAAUAUGAAAGACUCAUAGAAGCUAGUGAGCUACAUACUGUAGCUGUCUUAUCUGACCAGCACUGUAACAUAGUCUGCAAAAUGUGUUUUCACCUUCUUAGACAUCAAUUUUUCUAUAUAAGAUUUCAGUGGGGUCCUUAAAUUGUAAAUAUCUCCAGCAUUUAAUUACAUGUACUACUGAUUACAAAUUUGAUAAGGUUUCAAUACUCAGCUGCAAAAUCUAUUUUUUAUCUAGGGAGAUGAAAGGCAUCUUCUUCCU